CAGCAGCCGCGGGAAUACGAAGGGUGCAAGCGUUAAUCGGAAUUACUGGGCGUAAAGCGUGCGUAGGCGGUUUGUUAAGUCUGCUGUGAAAUCCCCGGGCUCAACCUGGGAAUGGCAGUGGAUACUGGCAAGCUAGAGUGUGUCAGAGGAUGGUGGAAUUCCCGGUGUAGCGGUGAAAUGCGUAGAGAUCGGAAGGAACAUCUGUGGCGAAGGCGACUAUCUGGGCCAACACUGACACUGAGGCACGAAAGCGUGGGGAGCAAACAGGAUUAGAUACCCCCGUAGUCCCUGUCUCUUAUAC
rnacentral:rRNA from 1 species